AACGAACGCUGGCGGCAGGCCUAACACAUGCAAGUCGAGCGGACCCUUCGGGGUUAGCGGCGGACGGGUGAGUAACGCGUGGGAAUUUGCCCUUCUCUACGGAAUAGUCCUGGGAAACUGGGGGUAAUACCGAAUACGCCCUUUGGGGGAAAGAUUUAUCGGGGAAGGAUUAGCCCGCGUUGGAUUAGGUAGUUGGUGGGGUAAUGGCCUACCAAGCCGACGAUCCAUAGCUGGUUUGAGAGGAUGAUCAGCCACACUGGGACUGAGACACGGCCCAGACUCCUACGGGAGGCAGCAGUGGGGAAUCUUAGACAAUGGGGGCAACCCUGAUCUAGCCAUGCCGCGUGAGUGAUGAAGGCCUUAGGGUUGUAAAGCUCUUUCAGCUGGGAAGAUAAUGACGGUACCAGCAGAAGAAGCCCCGGCUAACUCCGUG
rnacentral:rRNA from 1 species